GACGAACGCUGGCGGCGUGCCUAAUACAUGCAAGUCGAGCGAAGUUUUUCUGGUGCUUGCACUAGAAAAACUUAGCGGCGAACGGGUGAGUAACACGUAAAGAACCUGCCUCAUAGACUGGGACAACUAUUGGAAACGAUAGCUAAUACCGGAUAACAGCAUUAACUGCAUGGUUGAUGUUUAAAAGUUGGUUUUGCUAACACUAUGAGAUGGCUUUGCGGUGCAUUAGCUAGUUGGUGGGGUAAAGGCCUACCAAGGCGACGAUGCAUAGCCGACCUGAGAGGGUGAUCGGCCACACUGGGACUGAGACACGGCCCAGACUCCUACGGGAGGCAGCAGUAGGGAAUCUUCCGCAAUGGGCGAAAGCCUGACGGAGCAACGCCGCGUGAGUGAAGAAGGAUUUCGGUUCGUAAAGCUCUGUUGUUAGGGAAGAAUGAUUGUGUAGUAACUAUACACAGUAGAGACGGUACCUAACCAGAAAGCCACGC
rnacentral:rRNA from 1 species